CACGUCACUCCUGGGGCUGUGGCUUAGGA
rnacentral:piRNA from 1 species